GCCACGCCCACCACCUAAGCCCCUUUUUGAUCCAGAAAUAAAAACAUCAAUAUGUUCCUUAAAAAUGUUCUGAAUAACAUAUCAGUGGGGCCAGAACAGAAGACGACAACCACUUUCAGCUCUCUCCUGAAAAUACUGCUUUCACAUUCUACCUUUUUGGAAUGUUGUCUUCUCCAAUCAUAAGCGAGGCGACUAUCAACUCGAGAGGUAUACAAGUUGAUUGACGUCCGGAAAGAGGUUGUGGGGCAAGCACAAAAAUCGCCUGAGUGAGAAGAUAUCUUGUUCAUCUGAGUGGCCUCGUCCCACCCCCUCUUUUGACCAAUUCAUCUGUUAUACUGUAAGUACACACACGCAGUUGUCCAAGUCUAGGUGAGGUAGGGGUAAAAUAAAAAGUGGGACAGAAAUCAAGGUAAUGUGAGCCCAUGAUCAUUAUGUUCAGAGGUUAAACUCAUCUACAUUGGAACCAUCAAAUGUCAUCUCUCACACACUUUAUUGGAUGUGUGACAUUAGAUGCUCAUUCUGUUUUGUUUAAUCUUCUCCCCCUGUUUAAAGGGACAUUUCAAAACAAGGUCAGCUUCAUAUUCAUCUCUAGCACCAGCCUAACAUCAACACGUGAAAAGUGUGAGUUACUAUGUUUUGUAGUAAA